rnacentral:rRNA from 1 species
CUUGCCUAAUACGUACAAGUCUAACCGUGAGCUUCUCAUAGUCGAUACAUUAAGUCUACCCGUUUAGCUUUCUCAAAUCGGGUUCAACUUUCGUCUCGGCAUGUGGAUAACAUUGGUUGCCGAUUGUUACAACCGAAUCUUACUUAUCCGGCGUUGACUCAAAGGUAAUAGGCGUUUGGCGUCACUUAUAAUUGGAUCCGCGGUGCCUUCUUUAUUUGGGGGGGCUCCGGCCUACCCACCCUAUGUUGCAUAGCCGAGUUGAGAGACUGAUCGGCCACAUUGGGACUGAGACACGGCCCAAACUCCUACGGGAGGCUGCAGUAGGGAAUCUUCCACAAUGGGCGAAAGCCUGAUGGAGCAACGCCGCGUGUGUGAUGAAGGCUUUCGGGUCCUAAAGCACUGUUGUAUGGGAAGAACAGCUAGAAUAGGAAAUGAUUUUAGUUUUGACGGUACCAUACCAUAAAGGGACGGCUAAAUUACGUGCCAGCAGCCGCCGGUAAUACGUAUGUCCCGAGCGUUAUCCGGAUUUAUUGGGCGUAAAGCGAGCGCAGACGGUUAUUAAGUCUGAUGUGAAAGCCCCGAGCUCAACUCCGGAAUGGCAUUGGAAACUGGUUAACUUGAGUGCAGUAGAGAUAAGUGGAACUCCAUGUGUACCGGUG